rnacentral:rRNA from 1 species
GUAAGGAAUAUUGGACAAUGGGGGCAACCCUGAUCCAGCCAUGCCGCGUGAAGGAUGAAGGCGCUCUGCGUCGUAAACUUCUUUUAUCCGGGAAAAAUUGUUGGGUUUCUACCUGACUUGAUUGUACCGGAGGAAUAAGGACCGGCUAACUUCGUGCCAGCAGCCGCGGUAAUACGAAGGGUCCAAGCGUUAUCCGGAUUUAUUGGGUUUAAAGGGUGCGUAGGCGGGUUGUUAAGUCAGUGGUGAAAUCUUGCAGCUUAACUGUAAAAUUGCCAUUGAUACUGACGAUCUUGAGUACACUUGAAGUGGGCGGAAUAUGUCAUGUAGAGGUGAAAUUCUUAGAGAUGACAUAGAACACCGAUUGCGAAGGCAGCUCACUAAAUUGUAACUGACGCUGAGGCACGAAAGCGUGGGGAUCAAACAGGAUUAGAAACCCCAGUAGUCC